ACACACACACACACAUUUUAAUAUCUUUAUCCAUGUGCAGAUUUUUACACAUCCCAGCAGAAUACAUGAUACAAACUAAUGUUUCCAUGCUACCAUCCAACCUUAAUUAAAGGACAUGGGCAGCAGCAUUUUUGCCAAACACGACUACACAAACACACUAUUUUGCAAGUAUUUCAGCCUCUCUCCUGGAUGCAUCCUCCACACUAUAGCAAACAAACAAACAGACAAAGCUCUCAUGCACAAUGACAACAUGUGUGUAGUGCAGACGUGAACAUAUUUGAAACUUAUCUGCAGUUACAGUUGCAAAAUUUCAAUGAAGAAAGCAAAACGCGGAAAUGCAGAUACACUUCUUUGUUACCUGUGACAUAUGUGGUGAUUUAUUUGCACAGCAGCUAUUCAGAACAUGCGACAAGGAAGUGAGGUUCACAUGUGAUUUGAAAGUUGGCACAGAAACAGAGACAGCCGGUAAUCUUCUUAAAAUUUAUACUGUUUUUAUGUACCUGCUAUGUUACGUUUAAGGCCCAGGUGUAAAAGAUGUUAUGCUUUGCUCACGUCAAGAUAAAAAAAAUGCUCUUACUGGCACAGGCAAAAAUGUCAGCUACAUAUUACACCCUCACCAAACUGGCAAUGUGUAGUAAUCACUCUUCAUCUAUUUUAUUAACCUCUUCUCGGCCAUGCAGACAUUGUGUUUGUCUUGUAGGAGGUUGAAUAAGUCAGACAGUCAAUAAGCUGUGCCGCAUAGAGCUGUACCAAAAAGUUUGAAGCUUCAAACACUCAUUUAUAACAUUCACAUUCAAUUCAAUUUGACAACAUGGAAAGCCUUUCAUUUUAAAGCAACAGUUCUGCAUGUCUACUCAUUCUGUUUAAACUUGAUAUGUCUUCACAGCUGCAGAUUACACUGAUGUCAUUAGUAUUACACAAGUUGUAGAAUUAGAUUGUGAUCCAAACAUUUCCAGUAAGUUGAGAAUUUGUUGGAGCCUUUCAUAAACAUUCUCACAGCAGACAAGAAAAAAACUGUGUGUACUCCCCCACUUUUCGCACACAAAGGGAGACACACACUUGUGUCAACGGGACAGUCUAACAGCACCAUAAACUACAUUCAUAUAACCACAACAACACAAAAGUGUUCCAACUCGAACACUAAAAAGACUAACUCAUUAAAUGCGUGAGAAUUUUUUCUCUUUUAUAGGGUGAUGACCUCAUAGAACACAAUGACAGACAGCAUUCGAAAAACAUCAGAAAGCUUUGAAUGUAAAAGAAACGAAAGUGUUUGCAGAGCUCGUGAAGUGCCCUGUGUUUUUGGAAUGAAAAAAGGAAAGACAUAUCUCACAGUCUCCUGACAAUAAGAGCUCUAUUAGAGGAUUUUAGCAUGUUGCUUGUAAAUCUUAUUGACAAAACUGCUGAAGAAUUUUAUUACAAGCUCCGUCCAAAUGAUUCAAGCUAUUGAGUCACUGGCUUUGAUCCUAACACCUACGUUAACAUGACAGUCGUAAGGUCAACAUGUAGCAGAUAUUUUUGAUUUGUGAAUUUGUCCUGCUUUCUGUUGAAACAGCUUUUCGAUGUGACACUGUGUCAUGUGUCCUCUUCUCUUUUCUCAAUAAACCUUCAUGUUUCCUCUUCAUCAAUUUAACUUUUCUAUUUCCUUUUCAUUGAAUUCUACAGUCACUACUACAUCCUGCUGACGUCUGCAUGCAUAGCCUGUCAUUACGACUAUUUAUUGCUGACAUUUAUCGCUUUAGCUUACAUUUCAGAGCUGUUAUCUUCAUAUGUGCAUAGGCGCUUGCUGAAUAAGCAAACAAAAUUUGUUUAAUUGCUGCGAAGGACAAACUAAAGACGGUGAGUGAAUUUUUAUAGUAAGUGCACCUAAAUGUUGAAGUAAUUCACCUAAAGAAAUAUACUAUGCCAUGUGAACUGACAGUAAACUGGUGUGUUUUUCAGAGGUGAAAUGCCCAGGAUAUCAGACCCUUUCAAAAAGGUAUUUCAAUGCAAGAAUUGUGUGUAUGACGUAGAGGCUACCUAUCUAUCAAAUUUGCUUUUAUCGUAUGAGCCCUAAGGUGUUGUGGUAGUGGCCUUUUAAUCAUCCCCAACGUUAGAAAACAAACCCACAGUGAGGCAUCAUUUCAUAACUAUGGUCCAUGUGUACGGAAGAGCCUGCUCGAGGACCUGAGGGCCGCAGAGAGUGGUGAUGUUUUUAAAGGCAACUCUUUUUUAUUGUGUAUUUCUCUGUUUUUAUUUUAUUUUUUCUAGCUGGCAUAUUCUUCUAUUUUGUAACUUAUUUACUGACUGAUUUAAAACUGUUUUCAUCCUGCCUCUGGUGUUUCCCCACUCAUGACAGCAUUUUCUCAGUUCCUCUUAUGAGUGCUGGUGUAAUUUUAGUCUUUGCCACUACAGUCUUUGUGUGUGUGCUUGUGACGCACUUUGUAACUUAGUCGCAUCCUGUCUGUAUGAAAAGUGCCGUAUAAAAAAAAUCUGAUCAACUGACUGAUUGAAGUUCAGCUCUGUCAAAAUUCCCAGGAAGCAGUGUAAAGCAGUGCAAGGACUUUCUUUUUAAAUACAGGACUGUGACAGACACAGGCCCUUUUUUAAAAUGCUACAGCACCAACACUGCACCUUACAACAAACACUGUCUGUAGCCUGUUUUGUGCCAGAGAUUAUUAUAGACACUAGCUCAGUAUCUGCUGAGCUACUGGGCAAUUUGAGGUACAACCACAAAGACAUGUAGUGGCCAGUGAGAAUGAAUGAAUGAAUGAGAGGUGAGCUUGUGACCACAGGAUUCUAUUAAGACAAAUCAAAAGGUGGGGAAGGAAAUGACUGACCACUUCUGGAAAUGAACAUGCACUGACUGCAACAGUGCUGUUUGGGUUUAUACACCAGCUAUCAGUGUUUAAAUGUUCACCUGUGUAUUUUUAUCCUCACUUACCAGCAGAAUUUGGCUUACACUGAGCAUUUGAAUGAAUAAAUGACCCCAUCACAUGUUCUGCUGCUGCGUAUGUAGUAAAGUGCCAUAUGGAUAAACUGCCUCCUACAUGAGCGCGCCAGGUUUAAAUCAAAGUCCGUCUCCACAAACAGCAAAGAUUACAGCUCAGCAUGACGUUUUCUACGUUAAUUCAUCUGAGAUUGUGUGAAAACUCAGCGGGCACUGUCUAGGACGGAAGUAAAAUCACACGCUGCGGUUGCAAAGCUGCGUUACGCAGGAUGUGGGAGCGAAAGACUGUAAAUCUCUGCGCUCAAAAGCCACCGGAACCGCGGGAACAGUGAGAGGACCAUUGCGUUUUGUGUUGACUGUGUGAAACCAAACAAACCGAGCAUCUGAGCAGCAAUGAAGACACACGAGAGAGUGUCACUUUCCAUCUCUAACGUCAGCUUGCGGUGAAUAUGAGUGAAGAAUGACCAAUGCCUCUUCUUUGCAUCAGUCUCCUUGCUCUUCUGCUUCUACCUCUAUCUCUCUCCUGUAACACCACGCUUUCCAAUGAACUCCAUGAAAACAUGCAGUUGGUGCUGAAAGUUCAUCUUGACAACACAAACGACAGUAUUGAAGCAUCGCUGCAGAGCUCAACCUGCUCAGCAAAGCAUCGCAGGCUACACAACUGCAUGAAUAGCGAUGCGCAGGAUGUUGUGAACACCUUUUACAACCUAACCUGCAAAAUGAAGAACUUAGAUGUUCCUGAGGUGAAGGACCUGGUCAAAGAUGUCCUGGGGUCGUUAAAAUGCAUUUGUCAGAUUAAACCGACCACAGUACCCAAGAGGAGGAGGAAGACGGUGACUAGAAAACUUUGCAGAGCCAAGGCAAUCCUGUCUGACAUGACCGUAUGCUUCGAGAAGCUGAACAAUAUGUUAGCUGUCCGGACAACACCCCGAAGCUCAUCGUGAAGCAAAAAAAGACUUGCACGUCCUGCCAGUUCGUCUGUACCACGCGUUCCUUCGUUGGAUUAUGCAAGAGGAAGCUUCCACUUCAUUUAAGCUAUCCUGUCAAGUACCUGUACAUAUCUCUUGCAACUGCUUUGGAUGUUGGAUGACUACUGACUCCUCAGAUAAGUCACACAAGCUACACAGACACAAGCUAUUAAGCCAACUGGAGAAGAAAGUCCCAAGGCCGUCCUGUCCAACACAUUGGACUCUGUAGCCAACGGUGCACUAAGCUGCGUGUACCACCCACCAUGCAGAAUUCACAAGAAUGUCUCGUGCACUCCACCAAAGGUGCGUGAUGCACAGGAAAAAACAGCUCUUGGUUUGGGUGGAGCGUAAAAGAGAAACUACAAGGUGGCAACGUAGAGCUAAAAUUAUUUUUUUUUUUAAAGCAAUUAGAUUGUAAAGAAUAUGCUAUGACAUUUACUUGCACUUCGUGAUGACAGCUCAAGCAUGAGCAGGAAAUAUUAAGGUGCUCAAAUAGUUUUGUUUUCACUUUUGGUUCAAAUGACUCGCCCUGGCAAAUCUCGGUUAUCUUGCUUAUCUAAAGCUCCUUUGUUAUUGUAUCUGGGGAGCUGUUUUAGGCCGGGUGUCAAUCAAUGGAACUCUCCUUAAAAUGACACUGUGUUGAGUAAUCCGUGUGAUUGAUAUUUUAAAAGCUAAUUCUGCCACAGAUGGCUGAGUCUAGCUUCCACAUACCUGACUCUGUUCUGGGAUACAGCUCUCCUGUCACAUUCAUUUGGUGCUUUGAUUAAUGGUGCCUGCCUAAUUUAAAAAAAAAAAAACAAGUCCUGUAUUGUAGCUCGGGGAGCUAAAACACUCAACUGCCACAAGUGUUGUUUUGCAUUAUUUUUGUGUAGGCCAUUUCUUGGUUUGUGUACCAGAAAAAAAAACUAGAAUUACUGCCUGGUGGUUGAAUACCAGUCAAAGUGCAGUUUACAUCCAUGUCUGUCCAGACUCAUAUGUAGCUAUGAUAUUUGACAAUGCUUCAAAUAUAGAUGGUGCUACAAAGAUGCUACAAAUUCUAAAAUGUGGAUGCUUCACACAUCUUCAACACAGCAACACAGAAGAUGUGGACACCAAGGAUUAGUAUCGCCAUUUCAGUAUCUGACCAAGUAACUCCCCUUCUGUUGCCGAGUGAUGGCUUGAAUAACGGCCAGACAACAUUUGGAUAUAAAAUAUCAUGACUUCAUUUUGUUCUAUUGGACAUUUGGUCAUAAUCAGUGUUUGAAUUCUGAGGUCACAGUGACCUUUGACCACAAAAAUCUACUCAGUUAAUUGCUGAGUCUGACCAGACACCGUCAGAUUUGAGGAAAUUUCCUCAACGCCGUCUUGAGAUAUCGUGUUUGUGAGAAUGAGACAGAUGCAAGGUCACAGUGACCUUCAAUUUUGACCACCAAAUUGUAAUCACUGUUGAGAUUCACAAGAAAGGAACGGACGGACAUACAGUCUGAAAAUACAAUGCCUCUGACCACAGCUAUCGUCAGAGUGGCAAAAAUAAGCAUGCAGCCUUAACUCCAACAGCUGUUUUCUCUUCCUGUCAGGGAC